UGUUUACCUGGCCGAUCUGUCAUGUAAGGUUAUGAGAAGAAGGUGAGUAUAUAACAAACGAUAUUUGAAAGGUACGACACUCACUUCUCACCGCUAGAAUCACAUCAGACCACCUUGGGAAAACCACUCCACAUCCUCAAAAUGAAGUCUGCUGUUGUCCUGAUGCUGUGCGCCGUCCUGGCCAUCACCUCCGCCAGCUUCUACCCUGGUUACGGCCUCGGUCUUGGUGGAUUGGGGGGUCUGGGAGGAUUUGGGGGUCUGGGUGGAAUUGGAGGUCUAGGUGGAUUUGGACUUGGUGGACUAGGCUUUGGCGGUGGACUUGGCCUCGGUAGAUUCGGCUUGCUGGGCGGUGGUCUGUACGGAGGCUUCAAGGGCGGCUUGUACUACUGAUUGCGGUACAUCUUUCCUUCAAAGUGGUCAUAAUGUGGUCAUUACCGGUGAAUCGUUUUCUUGAUUUGCACUAAUUUCUUCAUGAGGAACCAAUAAAAUGGCGUCAAUAAUAUAA
rnacentral:lncRNA from 1 species